rnacentral:rRNA from 1 species
GUCCUACGGGAGGCAGCAGUGGGGAAUUUUGGACAAUGGGCGCAAGCCUGAUCCAGCUAUUCCGCGUGUGGGAUGACGGCCCUCGGGUUGUAAACCACUUUAGUAGAGAACGAAAAGGAGCUAUCGAAUAAAUAGCUCUGCUGACGGUACCCUAAGAAUAAGGAUCGGCUAACUACGUGCCAGCAGCCGCGGUCAUACGUAGGAUCCGAGCAUUAUCCGGAGUGACUGGGUGUAAAGAGUUGCGUAGGUGGCAUAAUAAGUAGCUAGUGAAAUCUGGUGGCUCAACCAUUCAGACUAUUAGCUAA